rnacentral:lncRNA from 12 species
UAAGUGAUAUCUUCAAUCAUGUUUUCACUGUUUUUUUCAGACUCUCUGGAAUGUUGCCUUACUAUCAUUUCACAUCUGACCUCCAAAAUAUUAGUACCAUGAAAAAGUUGAAGCCAACAGAAUGAGGAAAUAGCACUCAAACCUUUCAACUCUGCCUUUACAAAGACAAUGUAUCUGAAAAGAAAGACCUAUCAUCAAGGAAACCUGAAAUCACCAAUCUUUCCAUUUCCCAGAAUGUACUUGCAAGCCAGUACCCACUUUUCAGGCAAGUUUCACUGCCAUUGAUUCGAGGGCAGGAGGAAGAAGAAUGGCCCAUUCAUUUAAUGAUGACAAAUAGCAG